AUUUUUGUUGGCCUGUCUUCUUUUUUUUCUUCUGUAUCCUCCAAGUGCGCAAUUUAAUCAGAUACAUGACUGCAGUUGCAUCUAAAAAAAAAAAAA
rnacentral:ribozyme from 1 species